GGGAUUUGCACAAUUGGAAUCA
rnacentral:siRNA from 1 species